GGAGGAGGCGGUGGUGGUUGGUUACACAAUAUACACGAGCCUGUGUCACGCUAUACUUGUACACGAUUUUCGAUUGUUUGAUUCGAGGAGUGUUUUUUUUCAUUCGCGGAUUUCCGUACGAAUCGCCGAGAGUUUUUUGCAUGGGGUCUCGGAUACAAAAAAAAAAAAAAAAUAAUAAUAAUAAUAAUAAUAAAAAUAUCCUACAUAAACUCAAAUCGUACAAUUCGGAACCGGUUAUGAAUUUCAUUUGCAGUGCGUAUUCGCACACGUUGUCCAAUAUUUCUUAGACUAGGUUAAUGUGGCAAACAUAAUAUCUCGCGUACGUAUUACAGACAUAUACACACAUACGCACGCACGCAAGCACGCACUCACACACACAUGCUAUAAUAUCAUAAUAUACGUAAAAAUGUAACUUCGUCAUAUAUACGAAAUUAAAAUAUAGAAAAAAA